CAUUACGAAAUGGAGAGAGUAUAAGGUUUGAUAUUUUUAUUUUCAAUGUUAUGGUUAGUGCAAUGUUCAGAGUUGGAAGUAGAGAAGAAAGCUAAGGAAUUAUUUACUGCUUUCAUUACUUACAUGUUGGUGCCUAGUAUAUACAUACAGCAUGUUGAUGACAAACCUUAUAAAGGAAGAGUUGUUCGAAGAGGCAAGUGGCUGUUCCCAACUCUCGUAUGUUAAAUCAGGGUGUCAGAAUGUUUCUCAAGAAAGGUGAGAUAGUGAAGGCAAGAAAUCAUAUGUCUAAAUUUGACAAGAAGGGUAUCCCACUUGAAGCUUCAACCAGACAACCACUUCAUUGUUGGUCUCUCUUUUCAGAGAAAGGGAAAUGCCAUGAAUACAUAAAAUUGCUUCCUGCAAACUAUCAGUUUUUUUAGGAAGUAAGCAAGAGCUGGUAGUUAUCUCUGAAGUCAAACCUCAGAAGGCAGGGUGGACUGUUGCUGCAAAGGAAAUAUUUCAUGAGAUGACUGAAAGUGGAACAGCAGUGAGCAUUCAUACAUACGGUAUUGUACUCUGUGGACUUUCUAGAAAUAAUUGCAGUGAUGAAGUAAUCAUGCUGUUAGAGAAAUUGUUUGCAAUGAACGUAAAGUUUGAUAUUGUUAUUUUCAACGUAAUGAUUAGUUCAAUGUUCAAAGUUGGCAGAAGAGAAGAAGCUAAGGAAGUGUUUGCUGCUAUGUCUACUUACGGUUUGGUUCCUAGCAUACAUACCUACUGUGUAAUGAUAAUAAAUCUUAU